rnacentral:rRNA from 1 species
GACGAACGCUGGCGGCGUGCCUAACACAUGCAAGUCAACUUGACUGAAGGAGCAAUCUGACAGUAGAGUGGCGCAAGGGUGCGUAACGCGUAAGUAACUUGCCCCAAGGUAAGGAAUAACGUCGAGAAAUCGGCGCUAAUACCUCAUAAUGCAGCGGAUCCGCAUGGAUAUGUUGUUAAAGGUUUACCGCCUUGGGAUAGGCUUGCGUCUGAUUAGCUAGUUGGUGUGGUAACGGCACACCAAGGCUACGAUCAGUAACUGGUCUGAGAGGAUGAUCAGUCACACUGGAACUGAGACACGGUCCAGACUCCUACGGGAGGCAGCAGUGAGGAAUAUUGGGCAAUGCUCGAAAGAGUGACCCAGCAACGCCGCGUGGAGGAUGAAGGUAUUCUAUAUCGUAAACUCCUGUGAGAGCAGACGAAAGACAGAUUAUUAAUCUGGAUGACUGUAUGCUCAGAGAAGCCCCGGCUAACUACG